AUUCCAGCUCCAAUAGCGUAUAUUUAAGUUGCUGCAGUUAAAAAGCUCGUAGUUGGAUUUCGGGCGGUUGACGACGGUCCGCCUCUGGUGUGCACUGCCGUUCUUCCGCCUUUCUGUCGGGGACGUGUUCCUGGCCUUAAUUGGCUGGGACGCGGAGUCGGCGAUGUUACUUUGAAAAAAUUAGAGUGUUCAAAGCAGGCCUAAGCUCUGAAUACAUUAGCAUGGAAUAACGCUAUAGGACUCUGGUCUUAUUGCGUUGGUCUUCGAGACCGGAGUAAUGAUUAAGAGGGACAGUUGGGGGCAUUCGUAUUUCAUUGUCAGAGGUGAAAUUCUUGGAUUUAUGAAAGACGAACUUCUGCGAAAGCAUUUGCCAAGGAUGUUUUCAUCA
rnacentral:rRNA from 1 species